CUUUCACCAUAGUAGGAACGUUUAUUUUUCUCACCAUAAGAGACAGAAAUUUACUGUUUACUAAAACCCAGGAACUCAAGGGCCUUCGUCCCUAUUUGCCACCUAUUAGGGCUCCCUGAAUCCACUUGUUCCUUGGCUGAAUUUGGUACAGAUCCUUAGCCGAUAAUUUGCGUAUACGUCAUUUUCUGUCAGAUACGCCAUUGGACACAAUUUGACAUUAAUCGAAGUAGAGCUUGACAGGUAGAGUGCCUACCCGCAUGGAUGUGGUUCGGACACGCUAGUUUGGAAAUGCAACAUUUGCUCUUAAAAAUGGCGGAACACGGACGAUCGUUAUUUUCUUCCUGUUUUGACAACACGUGUUUGCAAUAGCCUGAAUAG